CCAGUUUGCUGCUAUGACUGCAUUCCUUGUCCAGAGGGGACCAUCUCCACUCAGGAAGUUCUAUUCAUUUCUAAAGAAGAGGGAAUUGUACAAUCUUUCCCUGCUGAAAGUGUACUUGGAUCAGGAUGGAGACCUAGCAGCAGACUUGAGGGUCUUUAUUAGGGCGAUUCUCCUCAAGGAGGAUUCCUCCAACAAGCAAUUGGGGAGUUUUGAAAGACAAAGACUUACAAUCAACCAAGAUGCUUUGUCACAGUUAAAGUUGCUCAACAAGACUUUGUUAAGUAGAAAGCUACUUUAUUGUAAUCUGAUAAAUCAGAAGAAAAAGGGAGGAACUGAAUGAAGCAUCUGCCUGCAAUUGUCUCUCCUGCAACCAUUUGGAAGUGGUAACAGAUUUCAUAUUUGCCUAUGUGAAGCCAAGAGACGACUUGGCUGAUGUUCAU